AGUCGAGAGGGUACAGCCUGAAACCUCUCUGCACCAUCUGAGCGCUUUCAACCGAAUCACUGAAAAUCAUGAAUAUUCCGGAAAAAAUGCGAGAUGUAAGUGUUAAAACUGUUAUGAGUUGGAGUCGCAGUAAGUUAUAUCUCUAGUGUUUAACUGAUAGGCUAAGGGGCGGUGUUUGUUUUAUGAGUAAUCCCAUGUCAUAUACGAAUCUCUCUCUCUCGCUCUCCAUCUCUCUCUGUUUAUUGAGUUAUUGUCUUAACACGCUUCUAAAAGAACAUGUCUGUCUGUCCAGUCUUUUAACGAAGCGAACAACGGAAUAUUUACUCAAAAGAAUGGUUAUCUCCGUGAUGUCACGUUCCACGGGCGUAGCAAAAUGUCCCCUCGAAGGCUUGUACCUUUUUGGAUUUUCCGAUUGGAACUAGAGAAAUAUUGGGCGGGGAAUGAGCCCCAUAUUCAUAUAUAUAUUUGGAUAUAGGCUAGUCUGCUGCAUAAUUUGGUGAAACAAGACUCCAACGCGUUGAAGGUCAUUUAGUCUAUCGUUAGUAAAGCGUAUGCUAAAUUGAUGUAAAAGUAUUUUUACUUAAAAGAUUACUGACAAUUUAACAACAAGUAGCCUGCGCGCGGAUUCUCCGUAGAUAUACUUAAUUUCAUUUCUAAUGUAGGUAGCCGAAAUGUUGUGGACUUUGAUGUUCUGCGUGUGCUCUUUAUGGAUAACGUCUGUGCAGUCUAUUGUAGACAUGCGAGAUACGACGAAAAAUCCCAAUGCUGAUUUGCCACUCAAAGAUAAACCGAUGGAGACAGGAGUCCGUAACCAGGGGAAACGCAAAACGCUGUUUGCCAGGAGAACGCUCCACGAGGGGCAGAGUCCGCGCGCGGUGAAGCUGAAGGUCAGGCUGCGCCCUCCAGGGCGACGCUGCUACCGUAUGAUGGAGAGCUG